UGGAGGGCAAGUCUGGUGCCAGCAGCCGCGGUAAUUCCAGCUCCAAUAGCGUAUAUUAAAGUUGUUGCAGUUAAAAAGCUCGUAGUUGAAUUUCGGGGUCAGUAGGUUGGUCGUGCCACCGGUACGUACUGGUCUCACUGAUUCCUCCUUCCUGAUGAGCUGUAAUGCCAUUAAUUUGGUGUUGCAGGGAAUCUGGACUGUUACUUUGAAAAAAUUAGAGUGUUUAAAGCAGGCUAACGCUUGAAUACAUUAGCAUGGAAUAAUGAAAUAGGACGUUCGAUCCUAUUUUGUUGGUUUCUAGGAUUGACGUAAUGAUUAAUAGGGAUAGUUGGGGGCAUUAGUAUUCAAUUGUCAGAGGUGAAAUUCUUGGAUUUAUUGAAGACUAACUACUGCGAAAGCAUUUGCCAAGGAUGUUUUCAUUAAUCAAGAACGAAAGUUAGGGGAUCGAAGACGAUCAGAUACCGUCGUAGUCUUAACCAUAAACUAUGCCGACUAGGGAUCGGAUGAUGUAAUUUAA
rnacentral:rRNA from 1 species